GUUUGAUCCUGGCUCAGGACGAACGCUGGCGGCGUGCUUAACACAUGCAAGUCGAACGGUGAACCCUCUUCGGAGGGGGAUCAGUGGCGAACGGGUGAGUAACACGUGAGCAACCUGCCCCCGACUCUGGGAUAACUUCGGGAAACCGUAGCUAAUACCGGAUACGAGGCACUCGGGCAUCCGAUGUGCUUGGAAAGAUUUAUCGGUUGGGGAUGGGCUCGCGGCCUAUCAGCUUGUUGGUGGGGUAACGGCCCACCAAGGCGACGACGGGUAGCCGGCCUGAGAGGGCGACCGGCCACACUGGGACUGAGACACGGCCCAGACUCCUACGGGAGGCAGCAGUGGGGAAUAUUGCGCAAUGGGCGAAAGCCUGACGCAGCGACGCCGCGUGAGGGACGAAGGCCUCGGUUGUAA
rnacentral:rRNA from 1 species